rnacentral:pre_miRNA from 1 species
UAUAUACUCCCUCCGUCCGAAAAUACUUGUCAUCAAAAUGGAUAAAAGGAGAUGUAUUUAGAACUAAAAUACAUCUAGAUACAUCCCCUUUUAUCCAUUUUGAUGACAAGUAUUUCCGGACGGUGGGAGUAUAUA